AUCUCAUCUGUCAAAUCACAGCACUGCAAGCCCGUCCCACUCUAUAAAAGUAUUGAGCUUGAGUUGUCUGUUUUACUCUCAGUCUGAGUUUUGAUGGACACAAGACACUCGAAAACUACUGGAGUCAAUGACAACUGGGAUCCUGAGCAUACAACCAGUAAUAUCCUGAACAAUAAUCAUCUGGUGAAGAUCGAAUACUUCCACUCUCAUCUCUAUCCACUUACGUGAUCAUUGUAUGAUUAAAUCAGAAAUCUACUUUAAUCACAGAGAGAUUAUAAUGGGCAACAAUGCAGCACAUGAAGCAGAGAGACGACGGCGUCGAGCAGAGGAGGAACAAAACAGAGCUCGAGCUGAAGCAGCAGAGGCACGCCAUCAAGCAGCAGAGGCACGCCGUCGAGCAGAGGAGGCACGCAACAGAGCUCAAGCUGAGAAAGCAGCACUCCAGCAAGAAUAUUCUAUCUUACAGCAAGAAAGAGAUUUGGAGAAAAUGAAACAAGAAGAAAAGAGAAUAAUAAAUGAGAAUAACAGAUUUAAAGAACAAGAAGAAAGGAAGAGAAUUCAACUAGAAAAGCAAAAGUCACUAAAUUAAAUCAAUAGCAAAUAAUUCUGUUGUACGAAAUGAAUUAUUAAUGAGAGAUUGAAUACUUGAACACAUUCUGUCACAUUUCUAUAGUUAUGUCAACUUUUAACAAGGCAAAACUUAAAUGGUAGGUUGAAUUGAAUUACAAAACAAAGUUGUUUUAACUGUAUUUAGCAUUUUUUACAGCGUAGGCUAUACUUUAAAGGCUGUUUUCCUGGAUCCUGAACCACACUGUAUAAGUGAAAGCUUGCUGCUCUACUAAAAAAAAGUACUUCAGUUGGUAACACCUAAAAAAAUAAAUAGUUUAUGCAGGCAAAGGAAGUGUAAUUUUUGUAUCAUAAAUCAUACCUACAUACAGUUGUGCUCAAAAUGAUUUAUAUCCUUUGUAAAUAUGACCAAAGAAGUCUGUGAAAAUAAAUCUGCAUUGUUAAUACGCAUCUUUUGAUCUUUUAUUUAAAAAAAUCUACAAAAAUCCAACCUUUCAUUGGAGAAUAAUAAUUUUAAAUGGGUGUAAAUCUCAUUAUGAAAGAAAUAUUUUUCUCUAAUACACACUGCUCACAAUUAACCGCACCCUUUUAUUCAAUACAUUUUGCAACCUCCUUUUCCCAAGAGAACAGCUCUGAGUCU